rnacentral:rRNA from 1 species
CCUACGGGGGGCUGCAGUGGGGAAUAUUGGACAAUGGGGGCAACCCUGAUCCAGCCAUGCCGCGUGUGUGAAGAAGGCCCUCGGGUUGUAAAGCACUUUCAGUGAGGAAGAACGCCUAGUGGUUAAUACCCAUCAGGAAAGACAUCACUCACAGAAGAAGCACCGGCUAACUCCGUGCCAGCAGCCGCGGUAAUACGGAGGGUGCGAGCGUUAAUCGGAAUUACUGGGCGUAAAGCGCGCGUAGGUGGCUUGAUAAGCCGGUUGUGAAAGCCCCGGGCUCAACCUGGGAACGGCAUCCGGAACUGUCAAGCUAGAGUGCAGGAGAGGAAGGUAGAAUUCCCGGUGGAGCGGUGAAAUGCGUAGAGAUCGGGAGGAAUACCAGUGGCGAAGGCGGCCUUCUGGACUGACACUGACACUGAGGUGCGAAAGCGUGGGUAGCAAACAGGAUUAGAUACCCUGGUAGUC